GGCAUCCAAACCCCAAUUCACCUGCAAACACCGAGGCUGCAAGAAUGUUCUGCGAGAACAAGCGAGAAUACGAUCAAAGAUCAAAGGGUACGUGAGAUUGUGAAGCAGAGCCAGCCGAUUGACAACAGCCCUCCAUACCAAAAGAAAUGGUUCUUCGCUGUCCUUAUCGACAAAGUCUCUAUUGAGCAAACCACAACUUGUGAUUGCUGAUAUGUUUUCUCAUUAAGAUUUUUUUCAUUUUUCUUGUGCUUCAGGAUCUAUAUUUGCAUUAACACCUAUGUAAUGUUGUCAUGCAUUUAUAGUGUGACAUAAUCUUCUCACAAUGUUUGUGAAUGCCAUGGCCUUUGAACAAGCACCAUACUUUUGACAAGGCAUUGUAUCUACUUGCUUAUUGCCUUUUAUUUUUCAUGAUUUAGACUCUGCUCAAAAAAGAUAUGUUAGAGAGUAACAGAAAACAAUGGAAAAUGAUGUAUUUAUAUCA